rnacentral:rRNA from 1 species
AUUGAACGCUGGCGGCAUGCCUUACACAUGCAAGUCGAACGGCAGCGGGGACUUCGGUCCGCCGGCGAGUGGCGAACGGGUGAGUAAUGUAUCGGAACGUACCUUUCAGUGGGGGAUAACGUAGCGAAAGUUACGCUAAUACCGCAUAUUCUCUGAGGAGGAAAGCAGGGGACCUUCGGGCCUUGCGCUGAUGGAGCGGCCGAUAUCAGAUUAGCUAGUUGGUGGGGUAAAAGCCUACCAAGGCGACGAUCUGUAGCGGGUCUGAGAGGAUGAUCCGCCACACUGGGACUGAGACACGGCCCAGACUCCUACGGGAGGCAGCAGUGGGGAAUUUUGGACAAUGGGGGCAACCCUGAUCCAGCCAUGCCGCGUGAGUGAAGAAGGCCUUCGGGUUGUAAAGCUCUUUCGGCCGGGAAGAAAUCGCAUAGGCUAAUACCCUGUGUGGAUGACGGUACCGGAAUAAGAAGCACCGGCUAACUACGUGCCAGCAGCCGCAGUAAAAC